rnacentral:tRNA from 1 species
AAGGAUUUAAGUUAAUUAAAACUAGUAGCCUUCAAAGUUUCAAAUAGAAAAAUUUCUUCUAAGCCUUA